CUAAUAGCUGCAUAGCUUCUGAUCUCCUCCAUCAGACCAUCACAAUCGUCGGACAAAAAAAUUAGGGUUUCGCCGCUCCAAACUGGAAAUUACGAUCAUCACCAUCACAAUCCUCUCUUCGAAUUCCGAAAAUAAUAUAUUCUAAUUUCCUCCACUGUGCCGGCGGUCACCAAAAACUCGGAAAUGAACAAGAUUGGAGCAGAUUAACGAGGUAAUUAAUUAAAAAGAUGAUGUUCUUGUUCUGAACCCAGCCACAGGUUGAGAAUAUAUUGUAAGCUAAUUAAUUUGCAUGCAUAUACCAAAUCCCACACACAGGACUGUUAAGAGGUAUGUUAUGUAAUUCCCAUUUUCAUC